rnacentral:rRNA from 1 species
GACGAACGCUGGCGGCGUGCUUAACACAUGCAAGUCGAACGGAAAGGCCCUGCUUUUGGGGGGGGCUCGAGUGGCGAACGGGUGAGUAACACGUGAGUAACCUGCCCUUGACUGUGGUAUAACUUCAGGAAACUGGGGCUAAUACCGGAUAGGAGCUCCUGCUGCAUGGUGGGGGUUGGAAAGUUUCGGCGGUUGGGGAUGGGCUGGCGGCUUAUCAGCUUGUUGGUGGGGUAGUGGCUUACCAAGGCUUUGACGGGUAGCCGGCCUGAGAGGGUGACCGGCCACAUUGGGACUGAGAUACGGCCCAGACUCCUACGGGAGGCAGCAGUGGGGAAUAUUGCACAAUGGGCGGAAGCCUGAUGCAGCAACGCCGCGUGCGGGAUGACGGCCUUCGGGUUGUAAACCGCUUUCGCCAGUGACGAAGCGUGAGUGACGGUACUGGGUAAAGAAGCACCGGCUAACUACGUG